rnacentral:tRNA from 1 species
CGAGGUGUGGCUCAGCUUGGUAGAGCGCUACGUUCGGGACGUAGAGGCCGCUGGUGCGAAUCCAGUCACCUCGACCA